CAGGUAGCUGUUGGGAGGGUGUCUAGCAGCACCCCUACACUCCACCACUGGAUUCCAGUGGCAGCCCCGCACCCCAGUGUGACAGCCAAAGAUGCCUCAUUCAUUGCAGCAUCCACGGGGUUGGGGAGCAAGGCAACAUUGCCCGCAGUUGGGAACCACGGGUGAGAGAACAAGGAAGCUCCAUUAGCUUAGCAGUGAGUGAGAGUAAGAACGCCAACAAAAUAGGAAGAAAUGGCCCCACAGCAACUGCUCUGCAUGAAACCCUCCAGGUAAACUGUACCCAUGAACAGAAGGUGUGCCUUGACCUUAACAGGCGCCUGGGUCUGCCCUGGUUCCAGUCGAUAGGGGUGCACCGGGGUGUUGCUCUGCUGACCCCAGAUGCUGGGAAGAUGCUAAGCGUCAAGAUGCUGAAGGAUCAUGAAGCAGGAAGGCUCGUCGUCUGCAGCAGACAGAGCCAGGACACACACCAGUAACAGGGCAGCAGCUGGAAAAGCCAGACUGACUAAUGGGAUCGUGAC